rnacentral:rRNA from 1 species
UCCUACGGGAGGCAGCAGUAGGGAAUCUUCCGCAAUGGACGAAAGUCUGAUCCAGCCAUACCGCGUGUGUGAUGAAGGCCUUAGGGUCGUAAAGCUCUUUCGCCUGUGAUGAUAAUGACAGUAGCAGGUAAAGAAACCCCGGCUAACUCCGUGCCAGCAGCCGCGGUAAUACGGAGGGGGUUAGCGUUGUUCGGAAUUACUGGGCGUAAAGCGCGCGUAGGCGGAUUAGAAAGUUGGGGGUGAAAUCCCGGGGCUCAACCCCGGAACUGCCUCCAAAACUGCUAGUCUAGAGUUCGAGAGAGGUGAGUGGAAUUCCGAGUGUAGAGGUGAAAUUCGUAGAUAUUCGGAGGAACACCAGUGGCGAAGGCGGCUCACUGGCUCGAUACUGACGCUGAGGUGCGAAAGUGUGGGGAGCAAACAGGAUUAGAUACCCUGGUAGUCCACACCGUAAACGAUGAAUGCCAGUCGUCGGAUAGUAUACUAUUCGGUGACACACCUAACGGAUUAAGCAUUCCGCCUGGGGAGUACGGUCGCAAGAUUAAAACUCAAAGGAAUUGACGGA